rnacentral:rRNA from 1 species
GACGAACCGUGCGAACGUUGUUCGGAUUCACUGGGCUUAAAGGGCGCGUAGGCGGGCGGUCAAGUCAGGGGUGAAAUCUUUCGGCUCAACCGGAAAAGUGCCUUUGAUACUGGUCGUCUCGAGGGAGGUAGGGGCAUGCGGAACUUCCGGUGGAGCGGUGAAAUGCGUAGAUAUCGGAAGGAACGCCGGUGGCGAAAGCGGCGUGCUGGACCUCUUCUGACGCUGAGGCGCGAAAGCCAGGGGAGCAAACGGG